GAUGAUGGUUACAGAAUAUAUUCGAGGCGGCCAUAUUAUCAUUGAGAACGCAUAACAGUGAGGGUGUCAGCAGAGCACGGUGUGCACGUAUUAUAGCGGCGCUUGCUCUUUGUAGACGGUCCCUGAUAGUGGAGCGGAUUGUUUGCGAUAGCGAUGGACGGCUGCCGGGUGGACCCCCUGUUAGACAGGUGUCUUGUUUGCUUAUCAAAAAACCUCUCCAGAUACGAGUCAGACCUGGAACCUCUACCCCCACAUCUCAAGGACAAGCUGAUAACGCUCCUCUGCGUCCAGGGUCUUCUCACAGAUGCCAACAUUGGACGGGUCCUACAUCCUUCUGUGAAAAAACUCGACCUCCGUGACUGUGACGUGUCUGACGACGCUCUGAGGCUAAUAACCUGCUGCCGACAACUCAAGAAAAUAAAUCUAAACUCCAGCAAAGGAGAGGAGAGGACCUCAGUCACUUCUGAAGGAAUUACCGCCAUUGCCCAGUCUUGUCCAUACCUCCAUGAAGUUACCCUUAAAAAAUGUUGCAGUCUGACUGACGCCGGGGUCCUGGCUCUCUCGUUAAAUUGCCCCCUAUUGCAGGUCAUUAACUUGAGCGGCUGCAUCAUGGUUGGCGACGCGUCCUUGGAGGCGCUGGGGCAGAACUGUCCUCUGCUGCACAGUGUGGACUUGUCAGCCACAAAGGUGACGGAUGACGGCAUUGUUGCUUUAGUGACUGGAAAAUGUUCAAAGAACUUGAAGGAGAUUCACAUAGUCCGUUGCACGCAUGUGACAGAUGACACGGUGGAGGCCAUUCUCACUUCUUGCCCCAAUAUCGACAUCCUGCUCUUCCAUGGAUGCCCACAAAUCACAGAUCGUUCGGUAGUCGCCUUAGAACAAUUGCUGGGAUCAAAGAAACUGAGGCAGAUCACAUGGACUGUGUAAUGAGUGUCAGCUCCUGGGACCGCUCACAGAAGCACUUACAAGUUAUAUAUUGUUUCACGUCUCUCCUUGGAAGUUUAUUGUCUAUGUGAAACCACUCAUAGAGGUUUAUGGUGGAGCCGUUUUAGCAGGUGAAAUAAGCGGCAGCGUCACAGUUUGCUAGUGCAGACGAAACUAUACGUUUGAGGAAAGGGGAGGGGCCAUUUCUAGUUUAUUUCCCAUCAGGUAAGAUCCUAUGAGGCUUUAGAGAAAUAAAUAUUUGCAAAAGUUGCAUUUGUUUGUAUUUUAUUAAAAAAACGCUUUUGGUUUUGUUUUGCUCCAUGAUCAAUUGAAUAAAAGGUGCAUUCUGA